GUUUCUUGUGGGCACCUUCACCAAUAACAACCACCUCAUAACAAUGAAAUACAGAACACCGUCCGUAGCGUUCGAACGUACUGGAACUUUUCGACGCAAAAUCUAAACAGCGCGAUCGCAGCGACUCAACCGGUUAAAACGAAGAAACCGUGACUCGACAUUGCGAUAAACAUCUGCGCGCUCGAUUCUGACACUCGCGUCGUCAAUUUCUCUACGAUCUUUGUUCGUUUGCGAGCCUCGACAGCGUAGAGAAGAAAAGGAAUCGUCGAUAACCAGCUCGGACCAACCCUGGCCAUGCAACCUCGUGAAAAUAGACUAAUUCGGCGCAGAAUGUGCAGCAGCAGGUUGGGUCAAACAGAAAGAGUCACUGAUAUUUCGCAACUAGCGAUGAAAAGAAGCAAGAACGGAUCACAGCGAUCGAUCGUGAGUUCGAUUGGAGCGGACGGCCGCGGCGUGGGCGGCGGGGUGCGUUUUUAAUUGCUUAUCGGCCAUCAACAGCACUCAGACGCUUUUUCUCCUUCUCUUUUGUGCGCGAACGCCGCGGCGCGCCGCGGUGUAUACACCGUGGCGUCGGUAUCAACGCGACGUCGCAUCGAUUCGAGAAAAGUAAAAAGCAUCGCGCGAUAUCGAAGGCUGCAGUGGCCGAACAAGCGAGUGUGUGCUGUUCGUCGAUCGGAAUACGUCAUUCGGCAGAGUAUAGGUGUAAGAGGAGUGUCAUCGUGGCUCGUUUACCGUCACCCGAUGCCUAGUGGUCUUAUUUGUACACGGAUCGGUUAACGCGUCGAUCGCCCGCGAUGAUCGGACCAAAGGACGUUUUACGAUUCAUUUAGAACGAUCGAAAGAAGAUCGAGUUCCUGGACUGAUCAAUUUUCAACGAUGCGAGCAAUUUGGAUAAAUAUGGUCGGAAGGAUGUACGUAAAUAUCGUGUGAUAUUUUGCAAAGUGUUGAGAUAUGUAUAAUUUUCUGUGCUGCACUAGGUUAAAUGCGUAGUAGAGAUACUUGUAUGUGAAUAUCAGUGUGUGGAAGUAUGUGUGUCCGAAGCGUCUCGAAAACAAAUGAAUGUAAACUCUUCAGUCGGUUAAGAGUCGUCGGUUUACAGUCGGGUAUAGAAGAAAAUGCUGAGACGCGUGCAAGUGUGUAUCGAUGAAUAUAUAAGGAAUCGUCCAUGAAAUGAAUAUUUCAUUAUUUUAAUAUUAAUCCUCGGUAUAAAUUUAGUGUUCCUAUAACAUUAUUUCGGCCUCAAAGAUCCACAAUUCUCAACACGAAGAUUAAACAUUAUGGCGAAGUAUACUUCGAUGUAUCGCGGCUUCCUCAGCAAGAUGUACGCGUAAGUGAUAGUCGACGUGUUAAUCCGACGAAUAAGUUACUCUUCCUCUAAGAAAGAAAAAAGGAAACAAACAGAGUUUGUUUUAGAGUAACGUUCAAUCGGGCUGUUUCCAUUUUCGAUAAAUUGGAACGAGCUUCGGGAAGUUUCAGGAUCACGAAAUUCGAAAACGAAGAACGGAGGGAGAGGAAUUGCGACACGGGAUGCGACAUGGACGAUGCGAGAACCGUCGAUUACUCGCGGAUAUCCCAGAUGACAGAAGCGGAAAAAGAAAGACGAAGAUACCGAGGCAGGAAGAGAAAAAAGAAAAGCGCCCACGCCCGGACCGCGCCCGGAUUCGCGUGUAUCUUCGAGAGGGAAAAAAGGAAGAAGGGAAAAAGGGGAAAAAGGGAGAAAAGAGCGGUUGGUCGAGGGAAGGAAAUAUCAGGAAUAGGGACUGUAAAGCGAGUUCCCGAGACUAGCUCCCGAAUCGAGAUUGGAAUUGAGAUUGGAUCGCGACAACGUACAAUUGGAUGAGAUGUGAACGCGGUAUCAAUGACGACAUUGACCCUAGCCGCAUGAUGCGGUUGCUUCGAAAAACCUGGGAAAUUUAUUCGAUCGAUCGUUGGGUGGGCUCGGCAAGAAACUAGGCGAACUUCUGCUUCUUUCUUACUUUUCGUCGCGCUUACGGACUUUUAGAGAUGAUCGGACGCGUUAAAAAAUCAUUACCUCGAUCGAUUUAAAUAUUCGCGCGAUUAUUAUUACAUCGUGGAUGUUCUUGCAAAUUCGUUGUUUUACGAACGUAACUGAAAAGAUUGAAACUAAAUCGAGAUUUGUUUUAUUUCGUAAAUAUUACAAGAAUUAUUCUACUUUGAAUAUUUUUUUUUACAACUACUCUGGUAAAUUACGUACAUCCUUAAUAAAUGCGUAAGCAUCCGCGAUCUAAUUAUCAACUAUAUCUUUUCAUUAUGCGAUCCCACACACGCUGCGAACGAUCUUAUAAUCCGGAUUCUCGGAAUUUCGUAAUAAAUUCGCAGCAAGUUCCUAUAAAUAUUCAAAUCACCCGCGUGAAUCACCGUAUCUUCCGCUUUACGUAAUUCAAUUCGAUGCUAAUGAACAUUUUAAUUCUGCCCGUAUCGCGCUUCUCUGUAUAAUUAACUAGCUGUAAAACCUAUCGUAUCCUGCGAUCAUGUUUCGAUCAGAGGCGAGCUCUCCCACAAAACCGUAUCGUACACCAACUUUCGACGGCGUCGUACAACAAAAAUUCAUGCAAACUGCUAUAAGCAGAGUAAUGAGAGCGAUGUAGCCCGCGGUACUUCGACAAUAAGAAAUAUCGUCAAGGGAGACAGUCGCGUCGUUCGUCCGACGUAAAUUCCGAAAGUUAGUUGUUCGCCGCUCGAACGAAACUUGUUCCAAAGAAUCUUUCGCGGCUAAAAACCAGCAUUCCGUUGCUUUCAAACUUGGCUCCUGUUUUCCUUCUCUUCUUGCAACUCGGUAAAAUUUGCAAAUUGCAGAUUCAUUGCCGGUAAUCGUAUAACGUAACGCGGUGACAAGGCGCGGCACAACGCGCGUCGUGAAAAUGCUCGUCGCGCCGCGGCGAGACAAAACGCGCUAUGGCGAACGCAUACAACGGCAGAGCACUUAGGCGUACGUGCAUCGGGAUCGGUUGACCUCCUCCCCGACACUGUCUGCGAAAGCUUUUACGACCAAGUACCGAGUGCUAAGCUUCCAUCGUACCUGCAAACCUCGACAAAAGUAACUCGUCCCAUUCCGUACCGUACCGUACCGUCCCGCUUUCCUGCGAUUCGUUUCGUCUCGUUCGCCCCGCGAGCACAAACUUCGAUUCGAUCCCGAUUCGCCCUUUCUCUCAUUUUCCGACUCGUUUGCGACUCACGAUCGCGCGUUGGAAAGCGUCAACGACUCGCAGCGCCCAACGUUCAAUCCCCCCCCCCCCCCCUCCGAAACGAAAUGCGAUACUUUGAAAGGCAGCGAUUUUGCUCGCCGAUAUCGACGAACGAUCUUAUAUUGGGUUGGUAACUAAGUGAUUGCGGAUUUUGUCAUUAGGUGGUAUCGACAAAAUCCGCAAUCACUUAGUUGCCAAACAAAUAGUUCAGAUCCUGAGCAAUUAGUCGGCGGAGGUGACCUCCUUUCUCAUGGAUAGUCGAACAAAGACUGUUCAGUGCGAAUGUCCUGUCUCGGACCAAGUAUAAUAUACUUUUGGUGCGCUGCAGAAUUUUAGUAAUCUGUAGCGGCGUAUGUGUCUUAGAACGUUUCGAUACGAAGAUGCCUUACAUGAUUGUUUUGCCACAGAGGAUUAACACUGUACGACGCAUAUAAUGUAAUAAACAAACUCUGCACAAAGCAGAAUACAACCGGCGACAAGUUCAAACUUUCCGGUAUCUCCCCUCCACUAGUAUAAAUAGACGACCACGUUCUCCAGAAGUCAGUCAGUCGAGCGAAUAAGUACAACGAAUCAGUCUAGCGAAUCAGCAUAACAAUUAGUAUCAGUACCGCAGUAUCGCGCAAUCUUAUAACGAAUAUCAUCGAGCGAGCAAAGGUUGCGAUUAAAUUUGUGUUGUUAUUUCUGUAUUCAGAGGUAGGAUCAUAUUAGCUAUUAUUUUAUUCUUUGAGCCGAGAAACCUUUAUUGCACUUUCUUACAUGGACUAGGGAUAAAAACAAAAGAACAUCUUAAACCUAUCGAUUGUAUCUAGAACUAUAUUCUAGUUACUAUUUAUUGUAACUAGCGCGUCUGCACAUAGAUGGCGAGCGCGAACUCACGUCAUUUUUAACACUUUGUAUUCUACAUUUUAAAAUAUCUGUAAAUAUAUUUAAUUAAAUUAA